rnacentral:misc_RNA from 1 species
AACGCACAUUGCGCCCUAUGGUAUUCCAUAGGGCAUGCCUGUUUGAGCGUCAUUUCUCUCUCAAAUCUUCGGAUUUGGUUUUGAGUGAUACUCUUAGUCAGACUAAGCGUUUGCUUGAAAUGUAUUGGCAUGAGUGGUACUAGAUAGUGCUGAACUGUUUCAAUGUAUUAGGUUUAUCCAACUCGUUGACCAGUAUAGUAUUUGUUUAUUACACAGGCUCGGCCUUACAACAACAAACAAAGUUUGACCUCAAAUCAGGUAGGACUACCCGCUGAACUUAA